rnacentral:rRNA from 1 species
UACGAGAGGCCCAAACGUUAUUCGGAAUUACUGGGCUUAAAGAGUUCGUAGGCGGCGCAGAAAGUAGGGUGUGAAAGCCCUCGGCUUAACCGAGGAAUUGCGCCCUAAACUACUGUGCUUGAGGAACCUAGAGGUGAGCAGAACUGAUGGUGGAGCGGUGAAAUGCGUUGAUAUCAUCAGGAAUACCGGAGGCGAAGGCGGCUCACUGGGGGUUUUCUGACGCUGAGGAACGAAAGCCAGGGGAGCGAACGGG